AGACCCUGGCGGGGCUUCCCGGGAUGACGCCCAGGGGCUCUGUCACUGAUGUGGCAGAUUGCUGAAAGUUAAAGGUCGAAGAGGAACAAUUCAUUGUAUUGGAGGAUUUGGAGGAUUUGUAGCGAGAAAAUGUGGAUGGAAGUCCACACAACUGAAAUGGUACUGCCACGUCCUGGAAAUACCUGUUUGAAGUCAACCUUCAGAACGGCCGAUGGGAGAAAGAAAAAGCUCAAGAAAGAAGAAAUAAUUCAUACAGUAUAUCAAAGAAAAGCUUUUACUG